GGGCAUGUGGCACAGUGGUUAGCGCGCACGCUUUGCAUUCGCAGAUUGCGUGAGGCCGUGGGUUCAAAUCCCACCCUGUCCA